GGGCAUGUGGUUUAGGGGUAUAACAUUCGCUUAGCAAUCUAAAGGCUGCGAAAGGUCCUGGGUUCAAUUCCCAGCUUGUCCA
rfam:Sphaerobolus stellatus SS14 unplaced genomic scaffold SPHSTscaffold_9, whole genome shotgun sequence.